rnacentral:rRNA from 1 species
AUUGAACGCUGGCGGCAUGCCUUACACAUGCAAGUCGAACGGCAGCACGGGAGCAAUCCUGGUGGCGAGUGGCGAACGGGUGAGUAAAGCAUCGGAACGUGCCCAGUCGUGGGGGAUAACGUAGCGAAAGUUACGCUAAUACCGCAUACGAUCUAUGAAUGAAAGCGGGGGAUCGCAAGACCUCGCGCGAUUGGAGCGGCCGAUAUCAGAUUAGGUAGUUGGUGGGGUAAAGGCUCACCAAGCCGACGAUCUGUAGCUGGUCUGAGAGGACGACCAGCCACACUGGGACUGAGACACGGCCCAGACUCCUACGGGAGGCAGCAGUGGGGAAUUUUGGACAAUGGGCGAAAGCCUGAUCCAGCCAUGCCGCGUGCAGGAUGAAGGCCUUCGGGUUGUAAACUGCUUUUGUACGGAACGAAAAGGUUUGGCCUAAUAAGCUGAGCUCAUGACGGUACCGUAAGAAUAAGCACCGGCUAACUACGUGCCAGCCGCCGCAGUAA